rnacentral:rRNA from 1 species
GACGAACGCUGGCGGCGUGCCUAACACAUGCAAGUCGAACGGGGUUAAGUGCUUCGGUAUUUAACUUAGUGGCGAACGGGUGAGUAACGCGUGAGGAACCUGCCUUUCAGUGGGGGACAACAGUUGGAAACGACUGCUAAUACCGCAUGAUACUUUUUGGAGGCAUCUCUGAAAAGUCAAAGAUUUAUUGCUGAAAGAUGGCCUCGCGUCUGAUUAGCUAGUUGGCGGGGUAACGGCCCACCAAGGCGACGAUCAGUAGCCGGUCUGAGAGGAUGAACGGCCACAUUGGGACUGAGAUACGGCCCAGACUCCUACGGGAGGCAGCAGUGGGGAAUAUUGGGCAAUGGGCGAAAGCCUGACCCAGCAACGCCGCGUGAAGGAAGAAGGCCUUCGGGUUGUAAACUUCUUUUACCAGGGACGAAGGACGUGACGGUACCUGGAGAAAAAGCAACGGCUAACUACGUG